rnacentral:tRNA from 1 species
AAAAAGAUAAGCUAAUUUAAAGCUAGUGGGUUCAUACCCCAUUUAUAAAGGCCCCCUUUUCUUUUUA